UUCCAUCCAUUCCAUAUGGAUUAACCCGGGGAGGGUAAAGUACUGAGAAGCAGUAACCUGCAAGACCGUCAAAUUGCGGGAAAGUCCUUAGAGCCUUUGCUACCGCCUCUGCAUGGAAACAUAGCAAUGUGCACCAGGGUAAUGACCUCGGGUAUGGUAAAAACACAAAGGAUUGGAUAAUCCACAGCCAAGUCCUAAGGGUGUAAACCUAUGGAUGCAGUUCAACGACUAGAUGGUGGUCGGUUUCAAUGCAAAGUUGAAGCUUAAGAUAUAGUCUGGCCCCCCAGAAAUGGGGCC
rnacentral:ncRNA from 1 species